rnacentral:lncRNA from 1 species
AUAAAUAAAUAAAUAAAUAAAUAAAUAAAUAAAUAAAUAAAUAAAUAAAAAAUAAAAGUAUUGUGUCUAAAUAGAACUGAAAAAUAAAUAUUUUUUUAAAAAAAAGUUUAUAAAAUGAAAGUGCGUGUAAGUUUACUGACAAGAUAACCACUAAAUGCUCUCUUUUAUACAUUGUAUCUGACAUUGAAGGGCCAUGCUCUCAACUGAAGACAUGUGCUAUAUAUGUGUGCUUUGAGUAAGUCAAUUUCUUAUCAUUAACCCUGUUUCCUAAAUGUAUAAGAUAUUUAAGGCUAUUAAUUUUGUUAAUCCAUGCAGAUUACUGUGAUUACUGCCACCAUACACUCUGAAUUCUAAAUUGCACUUUAAAAGCUAAACUUAGUUAAAUGCAAAGCUUUGCCAAGUUGAUGUUCUCCAAACUAAAAUUAUGUGUAGCAAAAUCUCUGAUUUGUAUAAAAAUAACAAAUUUACUUGGUACUUAUUUGUGUCAUUUGUGGUUUUAUAGCUGUUUCAAGUAACCUGUUGUCAGUAAAUUACAAUUUGCUGUUAAUCUUCCCACUGGAUUUGGAAUUUAAAUGCAUUUUGGAAGGUUAUAGGAGAGCCUGAUUUGUUUAAAGGUGAAAUUCUAAAAUAUGGAAGCAUUUUGCCACUUUUUACACACACACACACACACACACACAAAAUGUUAAAAGCUCUCUUAGCCUUUGUUUGAUUCAUGUUUCAGAUGUAAUGUUGUAUUGUGGCAUUUGUCAGGACCUCCACCUUACCCGAGAUCAAACUCUGCCUCCCACCUUACUACAUGUUAGAAUGACUCCAAAAUAGGCUAGACUUGAGCUCAUUUAGGGUUGUGAUAGGUGGGGUUGUCUGGAGUUUGAUGAUAGCUUCAGUCCGGUGGGUCCUGGACUGGUUGGCUGGGCAAGUUGCUAGCAAGGUGCCCUCGCACCCUCUUCCAACCUUCUGACCCCAUGUAGCCAGCCCCAUCUGUCCCCAUGUCCUGCCCACAUCCUGGCCAGUUGAUUGAAAUCAGUUGCUCUUGGUGGAAUGACUGGAUGCAGAAUAAAAGCUAAGAAAGAGAAAGCAGUGAUAAAACCACAGGACAGAGAAAGUAAUUUUGAAAAGCAGGGGUGGGUGUGCUAGCUGAUCUUAGGGAUCAAUCUUCCACACUAACAUGAGCAAGAUGAAGCCUGUGCUUGCUUUAUUUAGAUCAGGGAACAUCAAAGGUUUUCCAUGGAAUGUUCUUUGCCAAAUAAGGUAGGAGGUGGUUGUCCAGUUCCCAACGGGUUAUGCCCAACUCCAGAGCUAUGAAAGGGGUCUCCCUACUUGAGAGGAGAUAGAGGUCAUGUGCCUUGGGCAAUCUAAUGCACUGGGGGAUAUGGUGGAGGGAGUUGGUAUAGUUUCCAAGGAAAAACCUAAAUCUCCAUGGCUUGACACCAAAUGAAGACCCUCAAGUAAUUCUCAGGUGGCUCCCUGCACCCGCAUAUUUCAGAACUAGUGGAGCUGGGGAGCCCGGCACUCUCUAGCAUCUACAAUGAAUGCUUCCCCCAGGCAAAAUGCCCCCAGUCUGAAUGUUCACAGGAUUGCCUGGCCAUGAACAACCCAUGCAGACCCACUCACUAUCUGCCAGAUAAGGAUGUAAGAUACCCCAGGCUCAGCUUUGUUGCAGUCCCAGGAUCUCAAUGCCAUUCCACCUUGCAGAGAGACCAUGAGACAUGUGCACAAAUGAGUGACCUUGCAAAGAAGUGGUGGCCACCAGCACUGCCAGCAGGAGAACCAUAGGGCAGCCAAAACCUAGGCACCCUGACACUGGACCUCAGGCCCUGGGUGGUGUUCUCAGGCAGAACUGGCUGCACUGUGAGAUGGUGGUAGCAGCAAACCUGCAAGCACCCUGGCCCACAAGGCCCUGGCCACUGUCCCAAGAUGGAGAUGGCUGUGUACAACCAACCCUGCAGGCAACUUGGCAAUGGACCUCUGGGCGACAGUGGCGGCAGUGGCACCCUGAGAGUCCCCACUGCUUCUUACCACUGUCACCACUACUGUGCAACACAAUUUCCAAGGGAAACUCUGGAAUCCUUGAAGGGCUCUGCCAUUACUCUAAUCCUGAGACCAGACCUCAGAGAGGGAACUGCAGUCCCUGAAUUGGGACACCAAAAGGCAAUGGGAGUCAUUUGAUGGCACUCAAGCUGCAGAGCAAAGGGGCUACUGUAAUGGGCAGGAGAGUCAAAACAGCAAACAGAAUAGUCUGACACCUGCAGCCCGAGGAUGUGAGUUCAUGGUAUUCCUGGAAGUGAAAGAUACGAGAGGUUUGCUAAAUCCUCAUUGGAUACGAGUAAACAGAAGAGUUUAAGACCAAGGGGGAAGGUCUAACUGGAAUAAUAAAAACAGCUAUAUUACCUCAAUCAAUUCCAAGACCUAAGCCAGAUUAGAAACCCAGAAUGAUCUGAAUGAAGAAGAGGUGUGUUGCAAUGAGUAAAAACUUGGAACACAAGUGCAAAAUUAUAUCUUAGUCCCAACAUCCUCUACAGAGAUGUAAGGCUUACUAUCUUGGUAAGCACACCCUAUGAAAAAUGAAAUAACCAGAACUCUUUCUGGUUACAUACCACACUGCAAUAAACAACUAUAUAUCUAAAUGCUAUAUGAACACAUUUGGAAGCCCAGAAAUAAUGCUGGGAUUGUUGUGAAGUUGCAUGAGCACAUUGUUAACCGUACAGGUUAUUUUUUUUAAUCUUUUUUUUUAACCUUUGUUUUAUUUAUUUCUAUGUGGUGUUGAGGAUCGAACCCAGGGCCUCGCAUGUGCUAGGUGAGCACUCUACUGUUGAGCCACAACCCCAACCCUACCAUACAGAAUAUUAUCC